AUGGGAUCACGGAGCCAGAAAUGCCUGUAGAGCAAUCUAGAUUUGAGGGGGAUGACAUUUGAACUGCGAUCUGAAGGGACAAGAGGAAGGUAGCCCUGAAAGGAACAUAGCGAAAAGCAUCCCUGGUAGAAGGAAAAUAAGCAAAGAUUGUGAGGCCGAAAUGAAGAGUAACAUCAAGGGAACUUGGUUUAUGAUACAGACGGCAUUACAAGUUUAGGCCAGCAUGUCUGGAGUAUGGUGCAAGAGAGAGAAAGAAGUGAAGAUGAGAUUGGAGAAGGAUCAAAAAGCCAGGUCAUGUAGGACAGUAUAGCUCAAGGCCAAAUAAUACCCACCUGUGAGUUCAGUGUGACUGAUGAGCCAACGGUCUGCAACCUCAAAACAGAAAGAAGGAGGAGGGUCCAGGAUCUUGCCAACACUAAGAUGUCAGAGGAGUAGGAUCCAGCCAUCAAAGAAUGUUCAGAACCCACUGAACAGACAGAGGGAAAACCAAGAGUGUGAUAUUCCUCAAGACAAAAGAAGAAAGCGGCAGGAAGAAGCUGAAUGGUCAGCUUUGUAGGCUGCUGACAAGAGUUUGGGUAAGGUGAGGACCCACAAAUGUCCAUUUGAUGUGCCAUCAUGAGUAUUGGUUGGUAACCUCAACUAGAGAAGUUUCUGUAGAUCUCUGGUAUGGAAUCCUGUUUGAAGAAGAUUGAAGAAUUAAUGUGAGAUAUGAAAGUAAAAAGAGC
rnacentral:lncRNA from 1 species